rnacentral:lncRNA from 1 species
CCUGACCUCAGAUAAUCUGCCUGCCUCAGCCUCCCAAGGAGCUGGGAUUACGGCGUGAGCCACUGCACCCGGCCACUUGUUUUCUACUCUUGUUUGUAAGUUACUUGGGGGCCAGCACCUCCUCUUAAUCACCUUACUGUUGCCCACACACUGACCAUUGAGCCGUCAGCACAAGAUGAUCAAUAGAGAUGCGUUGAUGAUUUGAGAGGCCAAUGACUAGUUCCACUAUUCUGAGUCAGGAAUGGGCUUGUCUGAACAAUGGCGAGGAAAAGGCAGGGCUCACAAAUCAGCUUGCUUCUGGCUUUUACUCCCUUUCUCUUCCUGACUGUCUACUUCCUCCUGGAUAUCCUGCAGAUAGGCUGUCACCCCGUCAAUGGCUGCAUGUUUAUAUAUAAAGAUGGGAAGCUGAUAUUAACUGAUGAGAGUGUUGUAUCAAUGGGUGAUAGAUGGUGGGAAAUGAGAAGGCUUGCAUGAUCAGGAUGGCCAGCAAAGGAUCUGUAUUGAAAAAAAAUCACAACGUGCUAGAGUUGGAGGGCCCCUCUUAGGAACUCUUAGAGAUGGCUCCUACAUAACCUCUGCAGGACUCUCCUAGGGUCAGGGAGCUCAGGGCCUCUGGACACAGCCAUGGGGUUGUUAGCGCCGAGAUUAAUGACCUCUUCUAUUGAGCUACAAUCCACGUGAUAGUACACUCAUUUGUGGUUUACAGUUUUGUGCUCAAUAAACCCAGAACCAGACUUCUCCACUAGCCAUGGGACUUCCUUUGAACCAUAACUAAUGGAGUUUUUUAAAAAGGAAAACUGCCGUGUCCUCCUUCAGAUAGUCUAAUGACACAAUGUCUAACAUCUCACCAUCCUUGUCACUUUUCUCUAGAUGCUCAAUCCACAUUUAAAACACAAAAAUGAACACCAUCCCCAUUUUUGUUUUGACUCAUUAUACAAGUAAAACAUACUCAUUAUCAAAUCUUUGGAAAAUACAUAAAAAUGUAAAAACAAAUUAAAUUUGCUCAUAACCACACUUCACAUUUUGGCGUAUUUUCUUCCUAUCUUUUUUUCUUAUUUAUUUAU